AGUGAACGCUGGCGGCGUGCCUAACACAUGCAAGUCGAACGGAGAAAUUCAGCAAUGGAUUUCUUAGUGGCGAACGGGUGAGUAACGCGUAGAUAACCUGCCUCUAAGAUGGGGACAACAACUCGAAAGGGUUGCUAAUACCGACUGUGAACAGUGUCUCGCAUGAGAAGCUGUUUGAAGGUGGCCUCUGAAUAUGCUACCGCUAGAAGAUGAGCCUGCGUCUGAUUAGCUAGUUGGAGGGGUAACGGCCCACCAAGGCUUCGAUCAGUAGCCGGUCUGAGAGGAUGAACGGCCACACUGGGACUGAGACACGGCCCAGACUCCUACGGGAGGCAGCAGUGGGGAAUCUUCCGCAAUGGACGAAAGUCUGACGGAGCAACGCCGCGUGAGUGAAGAAGGUUUUCGGAUCGUAAAGCUCUUUCGUUAGGGACGAACGCGCUCUUUGUGAAUAAUGAGGAGUAAUGACGGUACCUAAAUAAGAAGCCACGGCUAACUACGUGCCAGCAGCCGCAGUAAGAC
rnacentral:rRNA from 1 species